rnacentral:tRNA from 1 species
CGAGCACGUCACGCUCGGUGCGCAGCGGCGGGUUCACCUUGUAGACCGGGUUGUACGAGCGGACCAGCUCGUCG